rnacentral:ncRNA from 2 species
UUCAUAGUGGUUCGUAACCCUCCCACUUGAACAACCAACAAUUGUUCGAAACAAAACUAGGAAAAU